rnacentral:lncRNA from 1 species
CUUUUCGUAUUGUUUCCUAAGUGCAUAUCCUUUACAAACUUCUUUCUUGUCUUAUAUUAUUGGUAGAUCAUAUACCAUAUUUUUUUUGAUGUACACUUCUCAUAUUUUAAAAGUUCAAGUGCUUAUACCUUUUGUGCCAUAGUCAUAACUCAUCAUUCACCUCCAUCUUUCAUACAACAUUCUUUGUAUGGUGCAAAAUGAAAAGAAAAUUUCUACUUUUCUCCAUAUUGAUAU